rnacentral:rRNA from 1 species
UGCGUAGGCGGAAUAUUAAGUCAGUGGUGAAAUCCUGCAGCUUAACUGUAGAACUGCCAUUGAUACUGGUAAUCUUGAAUUUAGUUGAGGUGGGCGGAAUGUGUAAUGUAGCGGUGAAAUGCUUAGAUAUUACACAGAACACCGAUUGCGAAGGCAGCCCACUAAACUAACAUUGACGCUGAGGCACGAAAGCGUGGGGAGCGAACAGGAUUAGAUACCCUGGUAGUCC